rnacentral:rRNA from 1 species
UACGGAGGGUGCAAGCGUUAUCCGGAUUUAUUGGGUUUAAAGGGUGCGUAGGCGGAUUAUUAAGUCAGUGGUGAAAGCCCCAGGCCUAACCUGGGAAUUGCCAUUGAUACUGAUGAUCUUGAGUACAUUUGAGGUAGGCGGAAUGUGUCAUGUAGCGGUGAAAUGCUUAGAUAUGACACAGAACACCGAUUGCGUAGGCAGCUUACUAAACUGUAACUGACGCUGAGGCACGAAAGCGUGGGGAGCAAACAGG